GUAUUAUAUUUCACUUUUUUUUAUCAACAUUCUAAACACAUUCUAGGGGUUGUGAAGGAUUGACAUAGACCCUGGAGAUGCAAAGGAAAAGCUGGCCUCUUUCAAAGAGCAAAGCAACAGCAGUCCCAACUCGAACCAUAAUUCAUAAAAAGGCAUCCCAGGGAUCUACAAAAUGUGCACAAGUUGGAGAAAUAAAGAUGAGACAAGGCGUGCACACACCCUCAGUUGAGGGCCAGCAACAGCCCUGUUCAAGUUUAUACAAUAAUGAUCCUUCCGCAGGUUCACCUACGGAAA
rnacentral:misc_RNA from 1 species